UAAGGAAUAUUGGUCAAUGGGCGCAAGUCUGAACCAGCCAUGCCGCGUGAAGGAUGAAGGUCCUCUGGAUUGUAAACUUCUUUUAUCUGGGACGAAAACGGGAUUUUUAUCUCAAUUGACGGUACCAGAGGAAUAAGCACCGGCUAACUCCGUGCCAGCAGCCGCGGUAAUACGGAGGGUGCGAGCGUUAUCCGGAUUUACUGGGUUUAAAGGGUGCGUAGGUGGGCUUAUAAGUCAGUGGUGAAAUCUCCGAGCUUAACUUGGAAACUGCCGUCGAUACUAUAGGUCUUGAAUUAUCUGGAGGUAAGCGGAAUAUGUCAUGUAGCGGUGAAAUGCUUAGAUAUGACAUAGAACACCAAUUGCGGAGGCAGCUUACUACAUAUAAAUUGACGCUGAGGCACGAAAGCGUGGGGAUCAAACA
rnacentral:rRNA from 1 species